rnacentral:rRNA from 1 species
CCUACGGGUGGCUGCAGUGAGGAAUAUUGGUCAAUGGGCGCAAGCCUGAACCAGCCAUGCCGCGUGAAGGAAUAAGGUCCUAUGGAUCGUAAACUUCUUUUGAGCGGGAGCAAUAAGGUCUACGUGUAGACCGAUGAGAGUACCGUUCGAAUAAGCAUCGGCUAACUCCGUGCCAGCAGCCGCGGUAAUACGGAGGAUGCAAGCGUUAUCCGGAUUUAUUGGGUUUAAAGGGUGCGUAGGCCGUUGUGCAAGUCAGAGGUGAAAUUGUGGGGCUCAACUCCGCCGCUGCCUUUGAAACUGCAUGACUUGAAUCCUGUUGCCGUGGGAGGAAUGAGUAGUGUAGCGGUGAAAUGCAUAGAUAUUACUCAGAACCCCAAUUGCGAAGGCAGCUCACGAAGCAGGUAUUGACGCUGAGGCACGAAAGCGUGGGUAUCAAACAGGAUUAGAUACCCGUGUAGUC